CUCACAGCUCAGAGUGGAGGUGAUCAGGUGAUCAGGUCCUAUGGUGGAGCGGCUCACAGCUCAGAGUGGAGGUGAUCAGGUGAUCAGGUCCUAUGGUGGAGCGGCUCACAGCUCACAGAGUGGAGGUGAUCAGGUGAUCAGGUCCUAUGGUGGAGCGGCUCACAGCUCAGAGUGGAGGUGAUCAGGUGAUCAGGUCCUAUGGUGGAGCGGCUCACAGCUCACA